AAUAACCAAAUAUAAUACUCGGGCUAAGGGUCAAGUUGGUAAUUCUUACAUCUCCUCCUCCUGGAGCCCAAGUAUCAUAGUAA
rnacentral:sRNA from 1 species